rnacentral:rRNA from 1 species
UACAGAGGUCUCAAGCGUUGUUCGGAUUCAUUGGGCGUAAAGGGUGCGUAGGUGGCGCUGUAAGUCGGGUGUGAAAUUUCGGAGCUUAACUCCGAAACUGCAUUCGAUACUGCGGUGCUUUGAGGACUGGAGAGGAGACUGGAAUUCAUGGUGUAGCAGUGAAAUGCGUAGAGAUCAUGAGGAAGACCAGUGACGAAGGCGGGUCUCUGGACAGUUCCUGACACUGAGGCACGAAGGCCAGGGGAGCAAACGGG